GACGAACGCUGGCGGCGUGCUUAACACAUGCAAGUCGAACGGAAAGGCCCUGCUUUUGUGGGGUGCUCGAGUGGCGAACGGGUGAGUAACACGUGAGUAACCUGCCCUUGCCUUUGGGAUAACUUCAGGAAACUGGGGCUAAUACCGGAUAGGAGCUCCUGCUGCAUGGUGGGGGUUGGAAAGUUUCGGCGGUUGGGGAUGGACUCGCGGCUUAUCAGCUUGUUGGUGGGGUAGUGGCUUACCAAGGCUUUGACGGGUAGCCGGCCUGAGAGGGUGACCGGCCACAUUGGGACUGAGGUACGGCCCAGACUCCUACGGGAGGCAGCAGUGGGGAAUAUUGCACAAUGGGCGGAAGCCUGAUGCAGCAACGCCGCGUGCGGGAUGACGGCCUUCGGGUUGUAAACCGCUUUCGCCUGUGACGAAGCGUGAGUGACGGUAAUGGGUAAAGAAGCACCGGCUAACUACGUG
rnacentral:rRNA from 1 species